rnacentral:rRNA from 1 species
UACGUAGGGGGCAAGCGUUGUCCGGAUUUAUUGGGCGUAAAGAGCGUGUAGGCGGCCAUGCAGGUCCGCUGUGAAAACUCGAGGCUCAACCUCGAGACGUCGGUGGAAACCGUGUGGCUAGAGUCCGGAAGAGGAGAGUGGAAUUCCCGGUGUAGCGGUGAAAUGCGCAGAUAUCGGGAAGAACACCCGUGGCGAAGGCGGCUCUCUGGGACGGUACUGACGCUGAGGACGCGAAAAGCGUGGGGGAGCAAACAGGG